GCAAGUCGAGGGGCAGCGAGGGUAGCAAUACCUGUCGGCGACCGGCGCACGGGUGAGUAACGCGUAUGCAACCUAUCUCCAACUGGGGGAUAGAAAUGAGAAAUUAUGAAUAAUACACCAUAGCCCUGCGAGGCGACAUCGUCAUUCAGGUAAAGUUCCGGCGGUUAGAGAUGGGCAUGCGUGACAUUAGCUAGUUGGUGAGGUAAAGGCUCACCAAGGCUGCGAUGUCUAUGGGGUCUGAAAGGAUGGUC
rnacentral:rRNA from 1 species